rnacentral:lncRNA from 1 species
AGAUUUAUUAUACUAGGUUAAUUGCAAGAUACAAAAACAAACGAUUAAAACACUAAAACAAGGUUUUAUUGGCAUAAGCAAAUUAAUUUAAAACAAAAAAAAUUAUUUCUCUGUCCCAAUUAACAGAGAACAAGAAAACAAAUUUUUGGGCACUAGUUUCACAUAAAAACGGUUUUUAAAACAAAAGAAAUCAAUUAUAUGGCAUUAAAAGCCUUUCUGUAAAUUGACUGUGUUUAAGUUAUUCAAAUUUAAAUUAAAAAGCCU